GUCAACAACUUAACUACGUUGAAAACACUGGAUCUCGUCCGAUCACCGAAGAUAAGCAACGUCAGGCAUAGUUAGUACUUAGCUUGGGAACGUUAUGUGCCGUUGGCA
rnacentral:rRNA from 1 species